rnacentral:rRNA from 1 species
GGUUAAGCGACUAAGCGUACACGGUGGAUGCCCUGGCAGUCAGAGGCGAUGAAGGACGUGCUAAUCUGCGAUAAGCGUCGGUAAGGUGAUAUGAACCGUUAUAACCGGCGAUUUCCGAAUGGGGAAACCCAGUGUGUUUCGACACACUAUCAUUAACUGAAUCCAUAGGUUAAUGAGGCGAACCGGGGGAACUGAAACAUCUAAGUACCCCGAGGAAAAGAAAUCAACCGAGAUUCCCCCAGUAGCGGCGAGCGAACGGGGAGCAGCCCAGAGCCUGAAUCAGUGUGUGUGUUAGUGGAAGCGUCUGGAAAGGCGCGCGAUACAGGGUGACAGCCCCGUACACAAAAAUGCACAUGCUGUGAGCUCGAUGAGUAGGGCGGGACACGUGGUAUCCUGUCUGAAUAUGGGGGGACCAUCCUCCAAGGCUAAAUACUCCUGACUGACCGAUAGUGAACCAGUACCGUGAGGGAAAGGCGAAAAGAACCCCGGCGAGGGGAGUGAAAAAGAACCUGAAACCGUGUACGUACAAGCAGUGGGAGCACGCUUAGGCGUGUGACUGCGUACCUUUUGUAUAAUGGGUCAGCGACUUAUAUUCUGUAGCAAGGUUAACCGAAUAGGGGAGCCGAAGGGAAACCGAGUCUUAACUGGGCGUUAAGUUGCAGGGUAUAGACCCGAAACCCGGUGAUCUAGCCAUGGGCAGGUUGAAGGUUGGGUAACACUAACUGGAGGACCGAACCGACUAAUGUUGAAAAAUUAGCGGAUGACUUGUGGCUGGGGGUGAAAGGCCAAUCAAACCGGGAGAUAGCUGGUUCUCCCCGAAAGCUAUUUAGGUAGCGCCUCGUGAAUUCAUCUCCGGGGGUAGAGCACUGUUUCGGCAAGGGGGUCAUCCCGACUUACCAACCCGAUGCAAACUGCGAAUACCGGAGAAUGUUAUCACGGGAGACACACGGCGGGUGCUAACGUCCGUCGUGAAGAGGGAAACAACCCAGACCGCCAGCUAAGGUCCCAAAGUCAUGGUUAAGUGGGAAACGAUGUGGGAAGGCCCAGACAGCCAGGAUGUUGGCUUAGAAGCAGCCAUCAUUUAAAGAAAGCGUAAUAGCUCACUGGUCGAGUCGGCCUGCGCGGAAGAUGUAACGGGGCUAAACCAUGCACCGAAGCUGCGGCAGCGACGCUUAUGCGUUGUUGGGUAGGGGAGCGUUCUGUAAGCCUGUGAAGGUGUACUGUGAGGUAUGCUGGAGGUAUCAGAAGUGCGAAUGCUGACAUAAGUAACGAUAAAGCGGGUGAAAAGCCCGCUCGCCGGAAGACCAAGGGUUCCUGUCCAACGUUAAUCGGGGCAGGGUGAGUCGACCCCUAAGGCGAGGCCGAAAGGCGUAGUCGAUGGGAAACAGGUUAAUAUUCCUGUACUUGGUGUUACUGCGAAGGGGGGACGGAGAAGGCUAUGUUGGCCGGGCGACGGUUGUCCCGGUUUAAGCGUGUAGGCUGGUUUUCCAGGCAAAUCCGGAAAAUCAAGGCUGAGGCGUGAUGACGAGGCACUACGGUGCUGAAGCAACAAAUGCCCUGCUUCCAGGAAAAGCCUCUAAGCAUCAGGUAACAUCAAAUCGUACCCCAAACCGACACAGGUGGUCAGGUAGAGAAUACCAAGGCGCUUGAGAGAACUCGGGUGAAGGAACUAGGCAAAAUGGUGCCGUAACUUCGGGAGAAGGCACGCUGAUAUGUAGGUGAAGUCCCUCGCGGAUGGAGCUGAAAUCAGUCGAAGAUACCAGCUGGCUGCAACUGUUUAUUAAAAACACAGCACUGUGCAAACACGAAAGUGGACGUAUACGGUGUGACGCCUGCCCGGUGCCGGAAGGUUAAUUGAUGGGGUUAGCCGCAAGGCGAAGCUCUUGAUCGAAGCCCCGGUAAACGGCGGCCGUAACUAUAACGGUCCUAAGGUAGCGAAAUUCCUUGUCGGGUAAGUUCCGACCUGCACGAAUGGCGUAAUGAUGGCCAGGCUGUCUCCACCCGAGACUCAGUGAAAUUGAACUCGCUGUGAAGAUGCAGUGUACCCGCGGCAAGACGGAAAGACCCCGUGAACCUUUACUAUAGCUUGACACUGAACAUUGAGCCUUGAUGUGUAGGAUAGGUGGGAGGCUUUGAAGUGUGGACGCCAGUCUGCAUGGAGCCGACCUUGAAAUACCACCCUUUAAUGUUUGAUGUUCUAACGUUGACCCGUAAUCCGGGUUGCGGACAGUGUCUGGUGGGUAGUUUGACUGGGGCGGUCUCCUCCUAAAGAGUAACGGAGGAGCACGAAGGUUGGCUAAUCCUGGUCGGACAUCAGGAGGUUAGUGCAAUGGCAUAAGCCAGCUUGACUGCGAGCGUGACGGCGCGAGCAGGUGCGAAAGCAGGUCAUAGUGAUCCGGUGGUUCUGAAUGGAAGGGCCAUCGCUCAACGGAUAAAAGGUACUCCGGGGAUAACAGGCUGAUACCGCCCAAGAGUUCAUAUCGACGGCGGUGUUUGGCACCUCGAUGUCGGCUCAUCACAUCCUGGGGCUGAAGUAGGUCCCAAGGGUAUGGCUGUUCGCCAUUUAAAGUGGUACGCGAGCUGGGUUUAGAACGUCGUGAGACAGUUCGGUCCCUAUCUGCCGUGGGCGCUGGAGAACUGAGGGGGGCUGCUCCUAGUACGAGAGGACCGGAGUGGACGCAUCACUGGUGUUCGGGUUGUCAUGCCAAUGGCACUGCCCGGUAGCUAAAUGCGGAAGAGAUAAGUGCUGAAAGCAUCUAAGCACGAAACUUGCCCCGAGAUGAGUUCUCCCUGACCCUUUAAGGGUCCUGAAGGAACGUUGAAGACGACGACGUUGAUAGGCCGGGUGUGUAAGCGCAGCGAUGCGUUGAGCUAACCGGUACUAAUGAACCGUGAGGCUUAACCUU